rnacentral:lncRNA from 1 species
UAAAAUUAAACGUUAAAUUAACUACUUGUAGCCAUGAACAACAUGCUGCACUACGAUAGAAUGACAGAAAUGAAAGCACAUACAAGCAUCUCAAAACUCACUGUGAAUCAUGAGGAGAAAGAUCAGAGGAAGAGGAGGAGGAGCCAUUCUGACUGACAUCACCAUAACAACAACUACAACACAGCAAUUACAAUAAUCCAGCAUGCUUGAGAUGAAAAUGUGAGAUAUUUUACAAGAAAAAUACUUUUCAUUCUUUCUACCUUACAUUUUCAUGUUCUUUGUAAUUAUUUGUGAAAUGUACAGCAAAUUCUGAUUGAAAAUUGUUUCAAAUGAAACCCUACACCAUUUUCUUCAGUCUAGUAACAUUAAUAAUCAACGUGGAUAAGAACUUGUUCAUACCUUAGCGCAGGACACCUCAUCAGCUGAAAGCAAGUGACACAUGAGAAACAGUCUAGUAACAUUAAUAAUCAACGUGGAUAAGAACUUGUUCAUACCUUAGCGCAGGACACCUCAUCAGCUGAAAGCAAGUGACAACAUGAAGAAAUAAGGUAAGGUUUACCAGCCUCUAUUUAUAACCAGAGCUGCAUCAUUUCCUGUUCUUUUUUCUUUCUUUCUUUUCUCUUUUCUUUUCUUUUUUUUUUUCCUCUAGUAAGAUAAAAUAUUACAUUAAAUAAAUGUUUAAAAAAGAAAAAAAAUCAUACUUUUAUACCUUUGCAAAUAAAUAAAAAAAAGUCUUAAAAUACAAACAUCUGACACUGACAUGUGAGGGCCUACAUUCAAGGCUGGACUGAAAAAAACAAACCAGCAACAACAAAAAACAAUAUUCAGAAUUUUCUUCCAUUAUUUCCAACAUUGUGAACAGCAAGCUUGAUCCGCUUGUACAGUAUUUCCUCUGCUGAUGCGUCUGUUCUCUCUCUUUGCGUCUGUCUUUAUCUACACUGUAAAACCUGACAAGUCAUAGUAACUCAAACCGUUUGAGUAAACAGAUUGCCUUUACUUAAACCAUGUAAGUUUUAAAACUUUGCAAUUAUGUAAUCAAGUGAUUAAUUAAGUGCUGAUUGAGCUUUAGUGAUGAACAGCUGCUGUUAACAAACAGCAUCACCAGCUCCACUUAUUAAUAACCAGACUGACUUUAUUUCUGUCAGACGUCUACAGAAGAUCUGAUUGAGAAUUAACUAAGGUUUAGAUGUUGAUUUAUUGUUUCAUUUGAAGUAACCAUGUUAGAGAUCAGUGUUUGCUUUAGUUGCGCUCUUGGCCCUUGACUUCUGUCUUAGCUUUUCUGGUUGUUGUAACCAUGUGUUCUUGAAACAUGUUUGUUAUAACUCAAAAACUCAUGGAAAACGUUAUCAGGUGUUGGUUGUUGUACAGCAUAUUGGUGAUGACAAUCAUCAAUUAUGCAGCUGUUCAGAGUCCAAAAACUGAUUAAAUACGUGUUGUAUAAUUGUUCAGUUGAUUACAAUAAAAGCAAUUCAAAAAGCCAGUGAUUUUUAUAAUCAGUUAAUAUAAAAGUUUUUCCAAACAGUUUAGUCUUCUAUGGCAGCAACUAGUCACACACAGACAUCAAUAAUUAGAAUAUAGAACCUAACAAUGGUGACGAAAAAAAAAACAUGCUGCCUUGCAUGCUGGGUACGUUUUUU